AACUCAGGGAACUGAAACAUCUAAGUACCUGAAGGAAGAGAAAGAAAUUCGAUUCCGUAAGUAGCGGCGAGCGAACGCGGAUUAGCCCAAACCAAUAAAGUUUUCUUUAUUGGGGUUGCGGACAUAUCAUAACGGAGAGGUAUCGUAAUUGAAGAGGUUUGGAAAGACCCACCACAGAAGGUAAUAGUCCUGUAUGUUAAACGAGAAUACUUUAGAUAUGAUCCAGAGUACCACGGGACACGUGAAACCCUGUGGGAAGCAGGAGGGACCACCUUCCAAGGCUAAAUACUACCUAGUGACCGAUAGCGUAUAGUACCGUGAGGGAAAGGUGAAAAGAACCCCGGGAGGGGAGUGAAAUAGAACCUGAAACCCUGCACUUACAAGCUGUGGAAGCACAUUUCUUGUGUGACCGCGUACUUUUUGUAGAACGGGCCAACGAGUUACGUUAAGUAGCAAGGUUAAGCACUUAAGGUGUGGAGCCGUAGCGAAAGCGAGUUUUAACUGAGCGUUCAGUUACUUGACGUAGACCCGAAACCGGGCGACCUACCCAUGAGCAGGAUGAAGCGAAAGUAAAAUUUCGUGGAGGUCCGAACCCACGAGCG
rnacentral:rRNA from 1 species